UUUUAGGACAGCCAAUAGCUACUUUCCUCACUGAGAAGGUGGGAACACGAGCCAGAGGAGGAUUUGGGAAUGGAGCUGCAGGGAGUGCACAAUGUUUGCUGGUUAUUUAAGAAAGCGAACAGGAUGAAGAGGAGAGCAAGGCUUAGACCUGAGGCCGAGGCCACCGAGUUUAUUUCAUCCUGAGAGGACACACCCUGUCAAGAGGUUCGAUGGAUCAAUGACUUUAAAGACAGCAUGGAGGACACUCCUGCCUCAGCCAAUCUGGACAACAUGGAGGUUUCUUCUAAGUCAACCACCCUGGAAACCUUAAAGCGAUUCCAACCAAGACAGGGUAAACUAAGAAAGGCACACAAAUACAAUGUCAUUUGAAGUGACUUUGAUUUUAUUUGUUAUCUUUUUGAUGAAAACAAAUCUCAUUCCUUGCUUUACCUUCACAGGAAUGUGUGCAUUAUGUAUUCUAAUUCAUCUUUUCAGAUCUCCAGCAGAACACAACAUUUCAGUGACAUCCCAUGCUUCCUCAAAAUUCAUCAAUGGAAAGCAAGAUAAACAUUUUUUGUAUUUACUUUACUCUAGUAGGAAAAUGUAUUGAUGUGUGUCAGACACUUUCUUCCAACUAAAAACUAGAAUCUUUUCUUUCACAUACGCCAUGUGUCAAUUAAGCAGACUCAAAGUUUCCUCGCUAAUACAUCUUUUGUUUCCAUUAACAACAGCUGUGAAGGUGAAAAGUGGUCUGUUGAGCGGCACUUUAUGCAUUUCGUAACAAGCUGUGAAGUACCAGGUAAAAGGACUGUGACUCUUGUAUCCAGGCAGAGAGAGCAGCUCUGGCAGACAGAGACUGGACUGCAAUCAAAGACUACAUUCACAACGGAACCGUAGCAUCAAAAAGGAAGAUGAAUGGAAAGAUCUAGGUCAUUUCAACUGUGAUCAAGCUUUCUGUCCUUGCAUUCCGCAAUCCUUAGAGCCAGCACUGCCGGCUCCUAGAACAGGUUCAAACACAAGGUCUGCAGCUUAAAGUAAGGACGAAUGAAAUCACAUGGGAGCCUGAUAUAGAACGUCACUAUUCACCUUUCAAUCUCCAGCUUAUACCCUGCAUUUACAUGGAUUCAGGCAGAUGGUUGUUGGCAGAUGGACAACACCUUCAGGAAGGGCCCUGGAUAUUAAACAAAGAGUUCUAUAAAGGGAAGGCAGGAUGUAUCAUGGUAAAAUAUCUCCCUGGUUUUGAUGUAUUGGAAACUGAAAGAGAAAUAAAAUAUAUCAAACAAAG